GAUGAAGAACGUAGCGAAAUGCGAUACUUGGUGUGAAUUGCAGAAUCCCGUGAACCAUCGAGUCUUUGAACGCAAGUUGGGCCUCAAGCCAUUAGGUUGAGGGCACGUCUGCCUGGGCGUCACAUAUCGUUGCCUGAUGCCAGUUUCCUCGUGAUGGGUGACUGUGCAGGGCGAAUGAUGGCUUCCCGUGAGCAUUGUUGCCUCAUGGUUGGUUGAAAAUUGAGUCCUUGGUAGGGAGCGCCGUGAUAGAUGGUGGUUGAGUGACGAACGAGACCCAAUCAUGUGAGACCCCUACCGAAUUUGGCCUUCAUGACCCACAUGCGUCUUUGGAACGCUCAUGACGAGACCUCAGGUCAGGCGGGGCUACCCGCUGAGUUUAAGCAUAUCAAUAAGCGGAGGA
rnacentral:misc_RNA from 1 species